GUGACGGUGACUAUGGUUCCUUAGGUAAUAUUUGAUGGCCCAAAUAAAUUUUAGGCGAUCGGGGUCCGGACCCACACGGAAGGAGUGGGCUAUUAUAGCACACGAAAAUAUGGGAAUCAGGCGAAAUUCUAGUUUUUGUCCGUAAAACGCAAAACAACGAGGAAUGGCCAUGGCGGGGCGAUGACUAUGGUUUCUUAGGUCGUAUUUGAUGGCCCGAAAUAAUUUUAGGAGAUUGGGGUCCGGGGGCUCGGACCCCUUCGGAAGGUGUGGGCUAUAACACACAAAAAUAUGGGAAUCAGGCGGAAUUCUAGGUUUUUGGCCGUAAAACGCAAAACAACGAGGAAUGGCCAUGGCGGGGCGGUGACUAUGGUUCCUUAGGUCGUAAUUGAUGGCUCGGUAAAAUUUUAGGCAAUUCGAUUUCGGGGGACCCUGGCCCACUCGAGGCUAGAGCACACGAAAAUAUGGGAAUCGGGAGCAAUUCUAGUUUUUUGUUGGUAAAAAGCAAAACAACGAGGAACGGUCAUGGCGGGGCUGUAACUAUGGUUUCUUAGGUCGUAUUUGAUGGCCCGUAAUAAUUUUAGGC
rnacentral:lncRNA from 1 species